rnacentral:rRNA from 1 species
UGAGGAAUAUUGGACAAUGGUCGGGAGACUGAUCCAGCCAUGCCGCGUGCAGGAUGACUGCCCUAUGGGUUGUAAACUGCCUUUAUACGGGAAGAAACGCACCUACGUGUAGGUGUCUGACGGUACCGUAAGAAUAAGGACCGGCUAACCCGUUCCCGUAGCCGCGGUAAUUAGGAAGGUCCGAGCGUUAAUCGGGAAUCUUUGGUUUAAAGGGUCCGUAGGCGGGCCGUUAAGUCAGGGGUGAAAGUCUGCGGCUCAACCGUAGAAUUGCCUUUGAUACUGGCGGUCUUGAGUCAUGGUGGGGUUGCCGGAACAUGUGGUGUAGCGGUGAAAUGCAUAGAUAUCACAUAGAACACCGAUCGCGAAGGCAGGUGACCAACCAUGUACUGACGCUGAUGGACGAAAGCGUGGGUAGCGAACGG